GACGAACGCUGGCGGCGUGCUUAACACAUGCAAGUCGAACGGAAAGGCCCUGCUUUUGUGGGGUGCUCGAGUGGCGAACGGGUGAGUAACACGUGAGUAACCUGCCCUUGACUUUGUGAUAACUUCAGGAAACUGGGGCUAAUACCGGAUAGGAGCUCCUGCUGCAUGGUGGGGGUUGGAAAGUUUCGGCGGUUGGGGAUCGACUCGCGGCUUAUCAGCUUGUUGGUGGGGUAGUGGCUUACCAAGGCUUUGACGGGUAGCCGGCAUGAGAGGGUGGCCGGCCACAUUGGGACUAAGAUACGGCGCAGUGUCGUACGGGAGGCAGCAGGGGAGAAUAUUGCACAAUGGGCGCAAGCCUGAUGAGGAAGCCUCGCGAGCGGGAUGCCGGCCUACGGGUUGUAAACCGCUUUAGCCUGUGACGAAGCGUGAGUGACGGUAAUGGGUAAAGAAGCACCGGCUAACUACGUG
rnacentral:rRNA from 1 species